AUUGAACGCUGGCGGCAGGCCUAACACAUGCAAGUCGAGCGAGCGGAGGACGGGUGAGUAAUGUAUGGGGACUGCCCGAAAGAGGGGGAUAAAUACUGGAAACGGUGGCUAAAACCGAAUAAUAACGGAUAACCCAUAUGGGAUUAGCUAGUAGGAGGGGUAAAGGCUAACAUAGGCGACGAUCUCUAGCUGGGCUGAGAGGAUGCUCAUCCACACUGGGACUGAGACACGGCCCGGACUCCUAGGGAGGCAGCAGUGGGGAAUAGUGCACAAUGGGCGCAAGCCUGAGGCAGCCAUGCCGCGAAUAUGAAGAAGGCCUUAGGGUUGUAAAGUACUUUCAGCGGGGAGGCUUUACCCACAGAAGAAGCACCGGCUAACUCCGUGCCAGCAGCCGCGGUAAUAC
rnacentral:rRNA from 1 species